rnacentral:sRNA from 1 species
UUUUAGCCCUGAUAGUAGUGAAAAUCCUUUAUUCUCUCCCGUCUUUAGGGAGAGAAUAAAGAUUGUAACGGAUAGCAGGAUUAGCU